rnacentral:lncRNA from 10 species
AAAACGGUUAUCCAAAAUUAAGCCAUGGACGAACUGCAUUUCCCAUCUUUGCAGCUUGAAUGAAACAAAUCAUGAGAGAGGCUCCUCCUCCAUGCUGCCAUGGUCACCUUGUUAACAUCCAUCAGUGGACACCAUAAAACAACGUAUUUUUGAAAACUUGCUAAGCUUUGUAAUUUAAUUGUGAAAUGCAUGGGAAAUAUUUGUAGCUAACAUUUAGUUGAGUGCUUACUACGCAUCGUGUCCCAUUCCAGAACUUUACACAAAUUAUCUCAUUAAAGUUUUUUAAAAGCCCU